rnacentral:rRNA from 1 species
AUUGAACGCUGGCGGCAUGCUUUACACAUGCAAGUCGAACGGCAGCGCGGGCUUCGGCCUGGCGGCGAGUGGCGAACGGGUGAGUAAUACAUCGGAACGUGCCCAGUAGUGGGGGAUAGCUCGGCGAAAGCCGGAUUAAUACCGCAUACGACCUGAGGGUGAAAGCGGGGGAUCUUCGGACCUCGCGCUAUUGGAGCGGCCGAUGGCAGAUUAGCUAGUUGGUGGGGUAAGGGCCUACCAAGGCGACGAUCUGUAGCUGGUCUGAGAGGACGACCAGCCACACUGGGACUGAGACACGGCCCAGACUCCUACGGGGGGCAGCAGUGGGGAAUUUUGGACAAUGGGCGAAAGCCUGAUCCAGCAAUGCCGCGUGUGUGAUGAAGGCCUUCGGGUUGUAAAGCACUUUUGGCGGGAACGAAAAGGACUGUGCCAAUACCACGGUUCGAUGACGGUACCCGCAGAAUAAGCACCGGCUAACUACGUG